ACGGAGGAUCCAAGCGUUAUCCGGAUUUAUUGGGUUUAAAGGGUGCGUACGCCGUUUGAUAAGUUAGAGGUGAAAUACCGGUGCU
rnacentral:rRNA from 1 species